rnacentral:rRNA from 1 species
AUUGAACGCUGGCGGCAGGCCUAACACAUGCAAGUCGAGCGGUAGCACAGAGAGCUUGCUCUCGGGUGACGAGCGGCGGACGGGUGAGUAAUGUCUGGGAAACUGCCUGAUGGAGGGGGAUAACUACUGGAAACGGUAGCUAAUACCGCAUAACGUCGCAAGACCAAAGUGGGGGACCUUCGGGCCUCAUGCCAUCAGAUGUGCCCAGAUGGGAUUAGCUAGUAGGUGGGGUAACGGCUCACCUACGCGACGAUCCCUAGCUGGUCUGAGAGGAUGACCAGCCACACUGGAACUGAGACACGGUCCAGACUCCUACGGGAGGCAGCAGUGGGGAAUAUUGCACAAUGGGCGCAAGCCUGAUGCAGCCAUGCCGCGUGUGUGAAGAAGGCCUUCGGGUUGUAAAGCACUUUCAGCGGGGAGGAAGGCGCCAAGGUUAAUAACCUUGGCGAUUGACGUUACCCGCAGAAGAAGCACCGGCUAACUCCGUGCCAGCCGCCGCCGUAA